rnacentral:tRNA from 2 species
UCGGGGGUGGUGUAAAGGCAACACGGCUGGUUCUGGUCCAGUUAAUGGGGGUUCGAAUCCUCCCCCCCGAG